GAUAGAAUCUAUUGGGCUUCGCACCAUGAACUUUUCCUGAACACCACAGAAAUAUAAUAACACUAUUAAGGUUUGAGAAAGUCAUGGAAUCAGGUUCACACCAAGUUGAUAAAAUUAUUUACUGACCUCAUCAAAAAACCCGUGCCUGGGUGAUGGCUUGCGGAGGCCUGAAGGCUUGGAACUUGUUGGUGUUCCUCCAAAUGAUGAAAAUGAUUUACUGACAUCGUCAAAAAACCCAUGCCUAGGUGAUGGCAUGCGGAGGCCUGAAGUCUUGGAACUGCCUGGUGUUCCUACUUGAUUUUUGGGAAUUUUUAGGUCCUCCGGGAUUCUUGUUAAUAAUUAUUUUGUGAUUAGCUGAAUACUUUAUCACUUUACUACUUUGUAAUGUAAUAAUUGUUUUGAUAAAUAAUUAUGAUAUAAAUUGUUAAGGAUUAACACUCACUUUAAAAUUUCCUCUUAAUUCAAAACCAUCAAUGUUGUGAUUCUUGUACAUCAGUUCUGAUACCACUUGUUAGUCAACAACGCUUAUUAACUCCAUAUUAGUAUGAUAUUGUUUUAUGACGGCUUAUAUUGAGAAAAAUCUUUAUUUUUACUAUACGAGACUUGGGUUGACACUCCUUCUAAAAAUGGAGAGAGGAGUGGCACUGCCUUGCCCGCAUGGUUGGGAAAGCCGACAAAAGUAGGCGGGCAUCAACUGAGCAAGGUGCUGAACAUAUUUCAACAGUGACAUGUUUGCAAUAUGUAGGACUAUUUGCAGUUAGAUUUUCUCACUGUGAAAAUGAAAGCCUUUAAAUGGUCAGACCUUUUGGGAUAAUCAUUAACAAAUCAUAUGGCUCUUGAAAAUUGCGGCUGUACUGCAUCAUUAUUAAUAUUAUUAUUAUAUAUUUUAAAAAAUAUAUAAAAAAUAAUAGAAGUACACAUAUUUUUAGAUAUAUUUAAAUUUAUGUAUUCUUAAGUUAAAAUAUAAAUUUAAUAUUCUUAUAAAUGAGCAAAGUUUAAGAAUAAUAAUUUUAAAUAUGUGUCGGUACUCUUAGAAAAAUUAUCAAAAAUUAAAACGUAAAUUACUUAAAAAUUGGGCGAGUACAGGACAGUAUUAAUGUUGUAAUAAUCUAUUUCGGAUUCAAAUAAUGUGAAGUCUAAACUUUAAAAUGCUAAUAGAAAUGACGAGAUCUCAAAAACAAACAGUAGAAAUUUCUUUAUUUAUUUACAGGAUAAUAUAUUUUAUUUUACAGCAUUUGUUUUCCGAAUAAUAUUAUUCUGAAGUCAAACGAACACAAUAAAAAGUUAUGAGAUCUACUAUUUUUGAUAAUAUUAUUAGAUUUUUAAAGUUUUAUCAACUAUUUUUUAUUUUAUUCAUUUUAAAUAUAAAUAAAUGAUAAAUAACUUUUUAAAAAUCUAAAAAUAUCAUCUACUAGAAAUCAAAUCUUACACAAAAAUACGCCGAGGGUUGCACAAAAGUUAGGGUUCUCGGAGAAGAAGCGAGCCUUUCAGGCUUUUUCCAGGCUGAGCUCCGGAAGAUAAAGUCCUCAAAAGGUAAGUGAAGCUCCAAAAAUCUCUCCGCAAUCAAAUUUCGAAUAAGACUCGUACUACUUGUCAGAUUUCAAAAAACAAGACGAGUCAGAUAACCUUGUUUCACAGUCAUUCACCGGUUCUUAAAAAGCACACAAUUAUGCCUGAAAGUUAGUUAAAUUAUCAUCUCGUAGGAUCCGAUAUGUUGAUCACACUUGAGUUAAAUUAUCAGAAGAUUCCUAAUCAACAUUAUCCUAAAUACCUGUUUUUCGAGAUGAUUGUGCAAUGUGAAGAAUACUGCAGGCCAAAUUAUCCUCCGGGCUUGAUUGACGAGUGUGCCUGGCGUGCAUUAUCGUAUGGUUUAAUCUGUGUGUCGACUAUGCUUUUUAAGUUUAGUGAUUCUACUAAGGAGAUAUAAUUGUGUAAUCUCUUCCCGAUUCUCCUCUUUCAAAUGGGUCCGGGUCCCUGGCAUAUAAUUGCCGGGGUUAUAUGCCGGGGACUGUUUAAUUAACCUAUAGUUUCUGGGCCGUUGAAUGAAUAUCCAGCGGUCAGGAUAAUAAUAAAACUUUAACAUGUUCAGCGCUUUUAAUAUAAUCCUGACCGCUGGAUAUUCAUCCAACGGCCCAGAACCUGUGUGUUCCUUAACUCCUCCACAGCCAUUAACAUUAAUGGCUGUGGAUCGCUACCCCUUUCAAAUAUAGAGACUCAGUGGAACGCUUUAGCGUUUGGGUUUGUGCCAGAAAUUAGUGAUUAUGUUGUGGUACAUAUUGUCAAACGUUGUUUGCAUUUGGGACGCGGUGAACCUGAUCCCCACUCAGUCAUCAUUGGUAUUUAUAGUCUAAACACUAAUUCUUGGAAGAAAAUAUGCCAAGAUAAGGUUUUUGUUUGUAACAUUAACUGGUUUGACGUUGUUUUCACUAAUGGUGCUGCAUUUUGGGCAGGGGUUCGUUUAAACAAGCAUAAAAUACUUUUGUGCUACGAUACCAAGACUGACAAACUUCGUCAAAUCUCAUUCCCUAACUGGAUUUUACAUAUUCCUGGUAUUCCUUUUAUUCAUCUACUUGGUCAAUCUAUUGCUUAUUUUGUUUGGGACAAUCAAUAUGAUUAUUUUGAUAUGUGGGUAAUAAAAUACUAUUCCAUAAAUGAGUUUUCUUGGGAGAAGAAGAUGAGUAUUCAUCCAAAUAAAGAUAUACGUGUGGAAGUCAUGGGUGUAAGGAACAAUGGUGAACCAAUUCUUGCAAGAUCAUAUAACUUGAUUUCAUAUAGUCUUGAUAACCACUUGGCAAAGAAUUUUGUUCAUUCAUGGGAUAGUUGGACUCCUUAUCCAUAUUAUGAGGAAGACUUUGCACCACCCUUUUUCAUUACGCCUUUUGUGGAGAGUCUCGUGUUACUUAAUAUUGAUUGAUGUGAUAGAACAAAAUAUCGAGUUGGAAACUUUCUUAGUGAAUGUCGAUUCCCAUGGAAAAUAACUUAUCAAUGUUGUGGAUUAUAUUUUUUAGAUUGUUUGUUAAAGUCUAUUAUUGUAGGCUUGGGGUUUACUGUUGUGUUAGGUUUGUGAGUGAUUAAUAGUUACUGUUAUUACCAAGGUUAUCAAUAUUUGUUUUAUGGUUUUUUGUUCUGUUAUUGAUCAACAGGUGGGACAAUGAUUGUCAUCUGUAAUUGAACAAGGAAAAUCGCCAUUGUAUAUAGCUGUUGAAGCUGGCAAAAUUGAGUAACAUGUAAUUUUUGAAUGAUGUUAAAUUGAGUCGAUCAGUGUUGGCUAAGAUAUGCAUUUCCUCGGGAAUGAAAAAGCCGCAAAGAGCUAAAGAUAGACUGGUCCAGUGUGGCCACACUAGGCCCAUUGGGUCGGGGAUCAUAAUUUUUAGCUUAUGUAGCAAAUGAGCUUGGACGGCUGAGAUGAAAGCCUGAAACGACGAAUGCUAGCGAUUGAGCUUGGACGGCUGAGAUGAAAGCCUGAAACGACAAAUGCUAGCGAUUGGAAUAAAUGAAAUCACAAUCCGAAUAAAGCCAAGAUACCCAAUCAGACUGUGCCACGUGCCCUUGUUUUAUGAGUAUAUAUAUUUCCCAAGUAGAGAGACUAACCCUCGAUCUAUACACGCCUCCCCGUCCACAGUUCUUCACUCUUCCUUAUCUGCAAAUCGCCCAUCUGCCCCGUUUCAGCUAAGGGCUGCCUACUCUAUUCUGAGUGAAUGGGUAUGUUCACUUCCUUAAAAAUCUUAUUCUUUUAUAAUCUUGCGCACACAUAAUCACAGUCUGUAUAUACAGUUACUAUAAAUCAAAGCAAUAAGUUAUAGAUAUGAUUUUUUUGUUCAGCUAAUUAGUUGCAAGUCAAUACAUAAUUUAUUUAUUUUUGCUAAUUGUCCUGUUUUACAUUUUAGGAAUUUCUGUUAUGCUCGAGUGCAUUCUUUAAUUCUUAAAUAAAGAUGUUCGUGGGUGCUUGAUUUCAGAUUAUAAGGUUUCAAUGGUGCCCUGGGCUUUUCUGUUUUGAGUAAUUAUACACAGAGAUAGUAGCUAUAACAUAUAACAAAAAACACGCUAUUUAAGAAUGUAGAAAUGUUUCGCUAUGUAUAUGACUUGGUUCCAUGUACUAAACUGGUAUCCCCUGUCUUUAACUAUAUAAUAACAUAUUUCUGCUUUCUCUUGACAGAUUUAGGUUGCAACGGUACGUCUCAGCCAGCUGGGGUUUUAUUUUUCACCUCUACCAAGGGCUAUGCUAGCAAAAUUAAAGCAAAAAUGAACAACAAACCCAAAGAAAGAAAGUGUAUACAACUGAUGUCAGUAGUGUGCAAUCAUUGUAUCAGGUAGGUGCAAUUAUUGUGAAACAACAUAUUAUCGCAAUUAUGGAAACAAUGACAUUGCUUCUGUCAACAAUUCCUACCUUAUUCUCAUAGCAAACACUAUUAGGGAUGAGAAUCUGCCACUAGGGUAGCCCUGGUUCCCUCCUGCACUUUUCUUCUGUUUUAAAUUUUGAUGUGCUUGCUCACCGAUAUUUUUCCUGAUAUACUAGGUGUAUACAAGCCAAGCAAUGAUCGCUUUUGUGACACAGAUCACCAACCAAUAUGCUAGGAACAUACUAGGACUGAACUUUGGAGGAAUACAGGCUUACUGACACUGAAGUCUGACUGGGCAUGUUUGAAAGGAAGGCUGCCAGUUUAAGCUCGUGUGAAGCUUAAAAGUAUUAUUCAUGCCGACUCUGACGUAUCAGGAAGAGCAAUCCUCUGGUCGGGCCUUUCAGAAAUUCAAAGAAAUUGAAUCCUGCUAGAUCUGGCAAUCAAUGCAAAAAGUCAAAGGUUUUAUAUUUCACUUCCACAAAAUUGUUACUUCAGUAGUUCGGUGUCUUGGAGAGAGCAGGAAUCCUUCAUUCACCCGCCGCACGGCACCGUGUACUCAAUUCCUGGGACUCUUAGAUGAUUCCAGAUUCUUAGGAUUUUUGUUGAUAAUUAAUUUUGUAAUUAGUUGCAUUCUUUUUCACUAUACUACUUUAUAAUGUAAUAAUUGUUUAUCAAAUAAAUAUAAUGUACUCCCUCUGUCCUUCCCAUUUUUUUACGGUUUUUUUGCACUGCUCGAUACGCAUUUUAACGCGCAUAUAAAACAUAGUUGUAUAACUUACUUUUGAAUAUUUUCUUUUUUGUGUAAAAUUGUAAACAUCAUAUUUUUAUUCAGAAGAAAAAAAAGUUCAAAAUAAUUUAUCAAAUUAUAUUUUAUGAGAGUAUUAGAAUGUAUGUCGAACCCCCGUCCCUCAAAGUAAACAAAUGAGGGGGACGGAGGGAGUAAAUGUUAAAGAUAAUUAAGAUUAUUUAGUUUAAAUAUAAAUGCAACUCUUAAAAUACAUGUGUAAUUUAUAUUUUUAAUGUAUGUUUGUCAAACCCCGCACCUAAAUCCUCAUAUAUUCCAAUUUGUCUAAUUUCUGUAUCCCCACACUCGCACUCGCACUCAUGCUUGCUAAUUUCAUAUUGUUCUGUAAAUGUCUCAAAUUCUCUGCUUUCUUUUCUCUAAACCUAAAUAGAUGGUAAACUUUAUAUUUGUGUCAUUACUCUUCGUCUCCUUGAUGAUUGUUCGGAUUCCCAAUUCGCCCAUAUGAUAUGCAAAUAGUCCACGUAAACGAUUUGUGCAUCUCAGAUUUCACAUUUUACUCCAGAAACAGCUGUCAUAUGCAAUUCCCCUUGCAUCCACUGAGGUCAUCAGAGGAACAAAUGGUCACUUGCGAAGGAAAAUAAACAAAGAACUGUGUGCAAAUUGUCUGUCUCCCAUGUCAUAAGUUGUUCAAAAUUUUAAUUUAAUCUACAAUAGCUUCGUGUAUUAAGAAAUUUGACGGUAAUUUAAAAGCAAUUAACGCUAAAAAUAAACUUGACUUGAUACGUAGUAUGAGGUCUAUAAUUACUGUAUCAAAAGGAAAAUUAUCUCCGGGACAUAGUUCAGUUCAUUACAAAAAUGAACCUAUUUUAGUUGCAGUUUUUUCUCUCCUUUCAUGUGAGAACUUUUUGAGUUUUCUCUCCUUUCUGUAGAGUAGAUUGUGAGAGGUGUGGCACCAUGACUAUGGUUAACAACGAUACAGAGAUGCAGUUGGCUGAGACGGACAUUGAGAACGAGAAAAAAGGUGAACUUAUUAUUGACAAGGAUAAUGCUACGUACCCAAAAUCUGUUCUCAAAACUUUUUCCCAAAUGACGUGACAUACAAGUAACUAAUUUUAAUUAGGUGAUUGAUGUGCAUACAGUGGAUCCCAUUAUUAUUAGUAUGAGAGUAACCAAUCAUACAUCACCAAUUGGAUUCGGGAAAAAAAAUUGGGAACAUUUUUGGGGUGCCUAGCAUAUUCCUAUUGACAAAGGGGUGGAGGAUGAGGUUAACAGGUUUGAACUCUUAUCUGGUGGGAACAUUUUUAACAGAGAAGAACAUCAAUGCGAGGGCAAUGAAAUCAAAAAUGGCUGACAUAUGAAAAUCUGUUGCGUAACAGACUUAACCUAUAUUUGCUGUUUUCUGUUUUGGUGCAAAUGCACAAUUUAUCGACUACAAAUCCAAUAUCAUACUCAAAAUUAAGAUAUCAGAAUCCUUACUACAAGAUGUAUGCAUUUUUUAUCACUUGAUCUUGGCCGGAGAAUCGAGAAACAUGCCAUCCAAAGAUUUAAGGAGCAAUGCAAGGGGUAAACAGUAAACUGAAACAGUGGGAAUUAUUUUUAUCUUGUGAAAUUUGAUGGAAUGGAAUUUAGAAGAGACGAAGAGAGUCUCUGGACCUCUAAAUACUCACACACAUCAACAAGCUUAUACUGAAGAUCAAUCUUUUUUUAUCUUUAGGAUGUGGGACCUAGAUUAACACUCACUUUACAAUCUCUUCUUAAUCCAAAAACCACCAAUAUUGUAAUCCUUGUACCGUCAUUGUUCAUCUGCUACUACUCUCACCAUACAAUAGAAGCUCGUAAUCCCAAAAUCAAUAUUUAACCAUCAGUUCUGAUACCACUUGUUGGUCGACCAAUAUUUAUUAACUUCACAUGAGUAUGAUAUUGUUCGGUGGCUGUUUAUAUUCAUAAAUCUUUAUUUUUACGAUAUGAUACUUGGAUUGACACCCACUCUACAAUCUUUUCGGCAAAAUUAUGGAGAGAGGAGUGGCACUGCCUUGGCAUUGCCUUGCCCACAUGGUUGGGAAAGCCCACAAAAGUAGGCGGGAAUCAACUGAGCAAGGUGCUGAACAUAUUUCAACAGUGACAUGUUUGCAAUAUGUAUGACAAUUUGCAGUUAGAUUUUCUCACUGUGAAAAUGAAAGCUGAGAAUCAAAUCAUUUGUUCAUCCGAUUGCUUUGUCUUUUCCUUUAAAUGGUCAGACCUUUUGGGAUGAUCAUUAACAAAUCAUAUGGCUCUUGAAAAUUGCGGCUGUACUGCAUCAUUAUUAAUAUUAUUAUAUAUUUUAAGAAAUAUAAAAAUAAUAGACGUACACAUGUUUUUAGAUAUAGUUAUAUUUAUAUUUUUUUAAGUUAGAAUAUAAAUUUAAUAUUCUUAUAAAUAAGCGAAGUUUAAAAACAAUAAUUUUUAGUAUGUAUCAAUACUCUUAAAAAAUUAUCAAAAAUUAAAACGUAAAUUACUUAAAAACUAGGCGAGUACAGGACAGUAUUGAUGUUUUAAUAAUCUAUUUGGAUUCAGACAUACUAAAGUCUAAACUCUAAAAUGCUAAUAGAAAUUACGAGAUCUUAAAUACUGGAAAAUAUUUUUCUAACAAAUAUUUUUUAUUUUACAGCAUUUGUUUUCCGGAUAAUAUUUUUCUAAAGUCAAACAAACACAUAAUAAAAGGAAGAAAUUCUGAACGCAUUUCUCUAAAAAUUAUACUUUAUAAAAAAAAUCCGAAAAUCAAUCUAAUUUCCUUGCAGAUCUGAGAAAUCAUAGGGCGUUUUUACGUGGGCCUGCUGUAAUAAGAAAAGUACAGAACACAACAAAAUUUGUUUGGAGCUAAAUAGAAGGCGCAUGGGCCAAGUUGCAGUAUAGGGUGGGCUUCAUUUGUAGGGUAAAGCCCACAAAACUUGCAAAAUGUGGUUGCAUUUGUUGACAUUACUAUAUACUAUAUACAUCCAAAUGGACUGGAUCCGAUUAUGAUUUUAAACUUUGAUAGACACCUAUAUACUAUAUACAUAAAUAAAUAUGAUGGAUCAAAAAAUGUUAGCAGUACUUUUUUUUUUUUUUGAACAAAAAUGUUAGCAGUACUUAAAAUUUAAGUAUAACAAUAUAUUAGCAGAAUAUUUUAUGGUCUAUUAUCCAUCAAAUAAAUGAAUCUUAAGAUUUAAAACUCCAAAUGAUAAAUGAUACUCCCUCCGUCUCAAUAUAUAAGUCCGUUUUAAUUUUUGACUAAUCAAAUUAAUUAUAUUUUGACAGGAAUUUAUAGAUAUAUAAUUGAAAAAAAAUUAAAAAAAUAUCAGCAAAAGGUAAAUCAAAUCUAUUUUAAUAUGUAACUUUUUAUUUUGUAAAACAACAAAUAAAUUAGUUAAUUUGGCUUUUGGAAAAACAAAAAUGACCUAUAAAUUGAGACGGAGGGAGUAUGAGAUAAAAUAAUUUAUAUAUACAUAUACAAAUUGGAUAGAAAAAAUAAAUAGCUAUCCAUGUUUUUGAAAAAAAGAAAAUAUUUUACAGCUUUGUCGGACCUCAUCAAAAAUAUUAUAUUUUUAUGCUAUACUUCAAAAUAAACAAAUACAAAAAAAUUAUUACACAGUUAUUUAAUCUCUACACCAAAAUUUUUAGAUAUAAUCUCAAAAAGACCCGAUGUUAAUUACCGUGAAAGAUUGCCGGCAAUAGACUGCUAGAUACCGGGACCCAAACUGGAAAUUUGCCCAAUAGCUUGCACAAAGGUUAGGGUUUAUAAGGCCUGACAAAUAUGCUCACGAUUGAUACUACUACGAAGAAGAAGGUGAGGCUAUCAGGCUUUUUCCAGGCUCAGCUCCGGAAGCUAAAGUCCUCAAAAGGUAAGUCAAGCUCCAAAAAACCUACCACAAUCAAAUUUCGAAUACGAUUAGUACCCCGAUUGUUAAAAACCCCAGAAUUAUGCCUGAAAUUCAGUUAAGUAUGCGGAGUAUUUGCGACUUACCUGAAGAAUGCUAUCAGAAAUACUCAAACUACUUCCUGUAAAAUAUAUAUAUUGCGGUGCAGGUACGUCCAGAAGCUGUGGUAUUAUCUCGUGAAUUCCUUUCUCUGCAGUAGAAACUCUUAAUUUAUGUUAUUUAUCUCUGCUUAAUAUCUUCAAUUUUAAACUAACAUUGGGCCCUAAGUAAUCUGAUUGGUUUCCCUACUUUUUCUUGCUAAGCAACCGGGCCCCUUUUCUCCAGCAAUGUACAUAAUUUUCUGAGGGUUAUGAAUUCAUUCCCUUGUUGAGUUUGUCCAAAUGGACAUAUAGAGCCUCAAAGAAACUUUCGGUACAUUUGUUCGAAUGUCCACCCCUUUCAGAAAAGUGACUAGAUAGUGUAUAAGGUAUGUUGUGUUCAUAUGUACUCCUAGAUUUUGGGCAAUCCAUGUAUCAAUUAAGCUUUAUUUUUGAAUGAUGUUAUUGAGUCGAUCAGUGUUGGCCCUGGUCCAGUGCGGCCACACUAGGCCCAUUGGGUCGGGGAUCAUAAUUUUUAGCUUAUCUAGCGAAUGAGCUUGGACGGCUGAGAUGAAAGCCUGAAACGACGAAUGCUGGCGCGAUUGAGCUUGGACGGCUGAGAUGAAAGCCUGAAACGAUGAAUGCUAGCGAUUGAGAUUGGACGGUUGAGAUGAAAGCCUGAAACGACGAAUGCUAGCGAUCAGAUUAAAUGUAAUCACAAUCCGAGUGAAGCCAAGAUACCCAUUCAGACUGUGCCACGUGCCCUUGUAUUACGAGUAUAUAUAUUUCGCAAGUAGAGAGCCCUCGAUCUAUACACGCUUCCCCGUCCACAGUUCUUCACUCUUUCUUCUCUGUAAAUAGCGCAUCUGCCCUGUUUCAGCCAAGGGUUGCCUACUCUAUUCUGAGUGAAUGAGUAUAUUCACUUCCUUAAAAAAUUUUUGUAUGUUCUUGUAGAUUAGCCAAUGCCUAAUUGGUUAUGGUAUGAGUUAGUCUACUUUCAUGAUUGGCAAUGUGAUAAUGUGAAAAUUAAUUAUCUACUUAAUUCUCAGAUUUCUUUCAAAUUUUCUAACGAGAAAUAUAUCAACAGCAGUAAUAACAAAGAAGUUUUAUUUUAUAAUGUGGUUAAACUGAUAUGGGUGCCUCUAGUCUUCUGUUUUGUAAAAAACUGCUACGGAAAUGAUAAAAUUACAUAUUGUUCCCUUCUGCACUUUUCUUCUGUUUUGAAUUUUGAUGCAUGCCUGCUAACUGAUAUUUUUCCUGAUAUACUAGGCGUAUACAAACCAAGCAAUGAUCGCUUUUGUGACACAGAUCACCAACCAAUAUGCUAGGAACAUACUAGGACUGAACUUUGGAGGAAUACAGGCUUACUGACACUGAAGUCCACCUGGGUAUGUUUGGAAGGAAGGCUGCCAGUUUAAGCUCGUGUGAAGCUUAAAAGUAUUAUUCAUGCGGACUCUGACAUACGAGGAAAAUCAAUCCUCUGGUCGGGCCUUCCAGGAAUUGAAUCCUGCUAGAUCUGGCAAUCAAUGCAAAAAGUCAAAGGUUUAUAUUUCACUUCCACAACAUUGUUACUUCUGUGGUUCAGUGUUUUCGAGAAAGCAGGAAUUCUUCAUUCACCCACCACACCGCACCGUGUACUCGAUUCCUGGGAUUCUUAGGUGCUUCAAGAUUCUUAGGGAUUUCUGUUAAUAAUUAAUUUUGUAAUUAGUUGCAUUCUUUAUCACUUUACUACUUUAUGAUGUAAUAAUUGUGUUAUCAAAUAAUUUUAAUGUAAAUUGUUAAAGAUAAUGAACUUAAUUAUUUGAUUAUUUGGUUUAAAUAUAAAUGCAACUUUUAAAAUACAUAUAUAAUAUAUAUCUUUAAUAUAUUAAUAUUUGUCGAAUCCCCCGCACCCGAAUCCCUGUAUAUUUGAAUUUGCUGAAUUCCCCCACCCACACCGGCACCCACACUCAUGCUUCCUAGCUUAAUGUGUUCUGUAAAUGUCUCUAGUUUUCUGCUUACUUUUCUCUUAGCCUAAAUGGUAAAGAAUCAGUUUAUAUUUGUGUCAUUACUCUUUGUCUCUUUGAUAAUUGUUCCGAUUCCCAAUUCGCCCAUAUGAUAUGCAAAUAGUCUUGUUGGCCUACAACUGUAGAUUAAAUUUAUGUUAAUGGAUGAUUGAGGCCUUAACAUAACAUGAUAUGCACUUAUGCUCAAUUUGAAAGGGGUUUCUGAUUUAAUCAUAUAUAGACCACAGAUGCAUGUCGCCUUACCCUGAAAUCAUAAAUGUCCAGGAUAUCUGAUAUCCUUAGUCCAGACAUUAUGACUAGACUGUAUGGUUUUGUUCAAAAACCAGAGAUGAACAACCGAGUGAAAAUUAGCAGUGUUUCUUGAAGUUAUCUUUUAAUCGUCAUAUUCUUUUUAGUGGUGUACAAAAAACCCAUUUCUCAGCUUGAUUGCACAGAUGUUGUGCUUCUACAUAUACUUUUUUUUUGUCAGUUAAAGUAACUUAUGGACUGGCUGAUGUGUUUCAGUUUGUAUUUCAGAGUUCAAAUAUGUUUUGACUCCAGUAAAGGAACAUUGUCAAUAAGGCAGACUUCAUCUGUCAAAGAUAUUGAAACUUCUCGUGCUAAGAACAAAAAGAAAAUGAGAGAAAUAGCAAGUGCAUCUCAGAUGUCAGGGCGUAGCCGAACUUAUGAUAUUCUACGUAAACUCAUAUUCCCUUAAGUUUCAUAUUUUGCUUUGCUGCUUUCCUAUUUUGUAAUCAUUUCUCUCUCUGAUUCACAUCUUUGUAAAUAAAUCUACUUGUCGGAUUGGUUUGCUGCUUACAAUUUCACAACUUACUCCAGAAACAGCUGACAUAUGCAACUCCCCUUGCAUCCACUGAGGUCAUCAGAGGAACAAAUGGCCACUUACGAAGGAAAAUAUAAAAGAACUGUGCAAAUUGUCAGUCUCCCAUGUCAGGCAAGAGCAUGGCCCUAAAGAGCUUGCUUUUCUUCUCAUUAUUUUGCACAAGAUAUUUCAGUUUGAUAUAUAGAGCCUGUUUAAAUUAGCUAAUUUAAACUAGGUACUUUCUGAGGAAAGCACUUUUGGUAUAAAACUAAUUAAAAUAAACAGAAGCAUUGAUUGAAUAGGGAUUUUCUUCAAUUAUUGUCAUAAGAAUUGAAGAUGUUGGAUGCUUCAGUUUAGACUUGACAAAAUUGUCGCCACAGUAUAAAUUUGUUUUCAUAAAUUGCUUUUAAUGAAGUCAACUUACAAUAUUAACUGAAAGGCAUUUCUAUGAUGCAGGUGUUGAGCUUGCUAAAGAUGCUAAACGACAGAAUCUGGAUGAUGGUUCUUUUUCCACUGUUUUGGAGUUCUAUAUUAAAUUUGCACCUGAGGACUCUGAGGAACCUCUUCCUACUGAUCCUGCUACGACUGCUUCCUGGAUGUAAGUAGGUUUAUCAUAUUUCACUAAAAAAAAAUCAGCUAAAUAAUUUUAUACUCCCUCCGUCCCUUCCAUUUCUUAACAGUUUUUUCAUUACUUGACACGCAUUUUAAGACGUACAUAAAAUAUAGCUCCAUAACUAUUUUGAAUUUUUUUUUUGUGAAUAAGAAUUUGAACAUUAAAAUUUUAUUUCGAAAGAAAAAAUAUUAAAAUAAUAUAUGAAAAUAUAAUUAUUUUUUUUUUAACGUAGGAACCCGCAGCCGCUACCCUUCGGGUGCGCACUGGAUAAACCCACGAGCUCUCUUUCCCAAAUGUUAACAACCUAGAGGGACUGAGGGAGUAAUAAUUUAAUUAUUAAACUAGACAACCAGAAUAUUAUUAUUGUUUCUUGCGAUUGUACUAAUGUUUAAUUGUAUUAAUUUGUAUAAGAAGUCAGAUAUAUGCAAUUUUACUAUAAAAAUGUGGUUUCAAGGUGUUUGCAUAGGUCGAUUUAGUAGAGCUGUAAGAACGAUUGGAGGGGCCUUGCUUUAUUGAAAAAAUUAUUGAUCUUAUGUUGCAAUCGAGUUUGAGCUUUUUUUUUUAAAAAAAAGUUUUGCUAAAGCAUUUUUACUUUAAGCAGAUCAAUAUAUAUAUAUAUAUAUAUAUAUAUAUAUAUAUGGGUCAUGUUCAAGAGACAAUCAUUAGAGAGAGAACCAUAGAACCCUUACCUUAUUUCUAGUAUUAGGUAGGGUUCUGCAGCAGAACUUAAGUAUUAGUUAGGGUUCUGCAGCAGAACUUCACAUGCAAAAAAAUGUUAAUAUCUAUGUAAUAUAUUUUAAAAUUAUUUUUGAACACACACAACGAUGAAAAAUCAUGAGCGCAACCCAUAUAUAUAUAUAUAUAUAUAUAUAUGUAUGUAUUUAUAUAUAUUUAUGCUAUCAACUUUUAUUUUUUGCUUUUCGUUUUAACAUUUUUUAGGGACCACAGAAAUUCUAACAUUGGUCCCUAUGAAAUCUGAUUGCCUUCCCUGGUUGUUCCCUUAAUAAUACUAUGUAACAUGUUUUCCUAGCGAAUAUUAGUUUAGUAUGCUAUUUUUGAAAUUGUGAAAUAUAUAUAUAGAAACUAAACCCUUCUUCUUUGACAACUUGCCAAAUCUCUGAGAAAUAGGGUAUAGUAUAUUGACGUCUAGGAGUUUAAUUUUUGUAGGAUAGUAGAUUUGGUAAUCGUUGCCUUCAACUUUUCCUUACAGAUGCCCAUUAUGAAACUGGUCAAGUGAUCCUUACUACAUGUCUCUCUCAACAAAGUAGGGCAUUUCACAUUAAAAGAGGGAAGAGUGGAGAUAUAGCACGAGGAAAGCGCAUUCAGAGUUUCAAAAGCCCGUGCUUACCAAAUAUCACCUUUUCUUUUGUUCUAAGAAGUUGAUUGAUCAUGUUCACUUAUCUAUACAUCAUACAUUGAGCAUUUUCAGUAAUACUGAGUAAAUUAUUGAUCUGUGAUUUUUUAUAUUUCUUUUGCCCUGCGCCUUUUCUUGCUAUGCGAUAUGGCCCCCUUUUUCCAGUAGUGUACGUACUUUUAUAGGGUUGCACAUUGGCCUUUUUAAGUUUGUCCAAAUGAACAUAUAAAGCCUCAAAGAAAUUUUCGGUGACUCUGUUCCCCUCAAGUUUGUUUUUUCUACAUCCCUGCCCUGUACGGGAUGCAGUACUAUAACUCCAACAUUAUUGAUAUUUCAUGACUCAUGAGUGUCGUCAACAUCAGGAACGACAGCAUCCAUUAUGCUGUCAUUGAGCUGUUUAGAAUCCAUAAUUCUUCCGUUCUUUUCUUUUGCAAAUACGGCAUAGUUUUUUGGUGUCACAAAUUGGAGUCUGCUUGAUGGACAUAUGUGGCAUAUGUUUCUAAAGCUCAUAUCAUGAUAUGCCAGAUAUUCCCAGGUUAACACCCAAGUGUUGAUGCUGCAUAAUUACUGAGAUAUUAUCUUGUUAAUACUUGCACAUGUCAAAUGUUACUUGACCCUUGUGCAUGUUCUUGGGUAUCACGACUUUUUAUCAUAUUAUUACACUUGAGUAUUAGAAAUCUAUAAAUGGAUAUAUCCUCCAAACAUAUUUGAAGGCUUUUUACAUCUCUUGCCCUUCACCAGGACCAUAUUUACGUUACACUGCCACUGAUACCACGCGUCCACUUCCUGUAAGCUUUCCUCACGUGCUCCUGUCUUCUAUUUUUUUAAACUGUUGCAAAUUGUCGCGCUGUCUAUUCUAAUUUGAGGCUCUGUCUAUGUAAUAUGUAUAUACUACUCCCUCUGUUUCAAAUUACAUGUCCACUUUAAAAAAAUCACAUAGUUUAAGAAAAGUUGAUUUUGGCAAAAAAGAGGUGUAAUAAGUCAUUAAUUGAACCUAAUGUGUGGUGUAUGGUUGAUCUUGGAAAUAUAAAUUUGAAAUAUGUGGAGGAGAGUUGAUUUUGGAAAUAUAACUUUACAUUGAAAGUUGAAGUGGACAAGUAUUUUGAAACAAUUUUUUUUUUCUAAAGUGGACAUGUAUUUUGAAACGGAGGUACUAUAUCUAUCUGAAGAAAUUUUUAGACCAUCUUAUCUAAUAUUGUAUAAUAUGGAAUCUUUGUACUACACCCUCUGUUCUCAAAUAAAUGACGUUUAACUUUUUGGGAUACAAUUUUAAGAGCAUUGAUCAUAUAUCUAAACUAAUUAUUUUUAAAAUAAAAAUAUAAAACUUAUACUUUAAUUCAUAAAAAGAAAAUUUGAAAAUAAUAAUUUUAGCUGAUACAAAUAGUCAAGCGUCAUUUUUUUGAAAACAGAAGGAGUAACAGUUAUACACGUUACCGGGGUUUGAUAACCCUAAUUAAUGUAUUCUUUGUUCCGUUUCAUAAUUUGGCCCGGGAGCUGUUCGUGCUGAUGCGCAUGACCGUCAUAACUUCAUCCCUGUGUGUUGGUGAUUAGUUUUGUUUUCUUUACACUCCAGCAAUAUUCAUAUUUCUAACAGAAGUUGUAUAUUAUGUGUUUAUCCUGAUUUUAUUUUUAUAUUUUGAUCUUUAUCUGUCUUGCUUAUGCCUUAUGGUAUUCUUUGACCAGAAUUAUUUUUUUUUUAUCCAUGUUACAUAUCCUCUUGAUGUGGUUUGAACUUGUCUUCCUUUUGACCUUAUGAUUAUUACAUCAUAGUCUCUAAGAAUGUUUUAUAAUUAACCAUUUCGCAAUGAAUUCUUAAAUUUCUUUUAGGUUCUUCAAAGAAUGGGACUCAUGGUAAGAAUUAUGGAUUAGCUGCUGGAUGUUCUCACUGUUGGGAUUAAAGACCGUCGUUCUCCACUUGCCAAUAUUACAAACUUGGUGCAAAGUACUGAUAAGGGCCUAUCAAGUUCUUUAAGAAAGAAGGUAUGACUUAUGCCGUAUGCAACUACCGCUCUUUGACCUUCAAUCUAAAACACUAUGUGUAUAGUGUUAAUGUGCCCCUUAAAAUGUUGUUAGGUUAAUGUUAACAGAGAGGGCCUUGGUUUGUAUACUUCAGAGAAUUUACAAGUUGAAUUUGUUCAAUUAUUAAUAUUAAAUUAUUAAUCAAUGUUAACCAAUAUUUAUUUUAUCAUAUUUUUAGAAGUAAUCAAAUAAAGCAACAUUUUUAUAUUUUUCCCUUAAGCUUAUCGAUUUGUUGGCACCGUUAGGAUGACAAGUCCGAUAAAAACUCCUGCUUUUACUAGGACAACCUUUACUGACAAUGCCACACUGCAGGAUAUUUUAAAAAGUAUUCAACAUGAUGUCAAUUGCAAGUGAUUUUGUAUUGACAGUAUUAGUCAAAGGGAACACGUUUUUUGAAUCUAAAUAAUGUAGCACAGACAAAGAAACUGAAGGUCUCACCCACGGAUAUCUCCUUACAGCAAAGUUGUUCGACUCCCUUACAGCCAUUGUUAAACAGAAGCAACACACCUUAUGCUCUGAAAUUUAAGUCUUGAAACACCAUCGGUAUGACUUAUGCCGUAUGCAACUACCGCUCUUUGACCUUCAAUCUACACUAUANAAAACACUAUGUGUAUAGUGUUAAUGUGCCCCUUAAAAUGUUGUUAGGUUAAUGUUAACAGAGAGGGCCUUGGUUUGUAUACUUCAGAGAAUUUACAAGUUGAAUUUGUUCAAUUAUUAAUAUUAAAUUAUUAAUCAAUGUUAACCAAUAUUUAUUUUAUCAUAUUUUUAGAAGUAAUCAAAUAAAGCAACAUUUUUAUAUUUUUCCCUUAAGCUUAUCGAUUUGUUGGCACCGUUAGGAUGACAAGUCCGAUAAAAACUCCUGCUUUUACUAGGACAACCUUUACUGACAAUGCCACACUGCAGGAUAUUUUAAAAAGUAUUCAACAUGAUGUCAAUUGCAAGUGAUUUUGUAUUGACAGUAUUAGUCAAAGGGAACACGUUUUUUGAAUCUAAAUAAUGUAGCACAGACAAAGAAACUGAAGGUCUCACCCACGGAUAUCUCCUUACAGCAAAGUUGUUCGACUCCCUUACAGCCAUUGUUAAACAGAAGCAACACACCUUAUGCUCUGAAAUUUAAGUCUUGAAACACCAUCGAGCCAAGUGCUUUUUACGGAUAAAGAUCAUGGGCCUGACAGACAUGAGAAAAGAACAUUGGAAGAAAUUGGUGUGUUCUGACAGUUUACUUUCNUUCAGAGAAUUUACAAGUUGAAUUUGUUCAAUUAUUAAUAUUAAAUUAUUAAUCAAUGUUAACCAAUAUUUAUUUUAUCAUAUUUUUAGAAGUAAUCAAAUAAAGCAACAUUUUUAUAUUUUUCCCUUAAGCUUAUCGAUUUGUUGGCACCGUUAGGAUGACAAGUCCGAUAAAAACUCCUGCUUUUACUAGGACAACCUUUACUGACAAUGCCACACUGCAGGAUAUUUUAAAAAGUAUUCAACAUGAUGUCAAUUGCAAGUGAUUUUGUAUUGACAGUAUUAGUCAAAGGGAACACGUUUUUUGAAUCUAAAUAAUGUAGCACAGACAAAGAAACUGAAGGUCUCACCCACGGAUAUCUCCUUACAGCAAAGUUGUUCGACUCCCUUACAGCCAUUGUUAAACAGAAGCAACACACCUUAUGCUCUGAAAUUUAAGUCUUGAAACACCAUCGAGCCAAGUGCUUUUUACGGAUAAAGAUCAUGGGCCUGACAGACAUGAGAAAAGAACAUUGGAAGAAAUUGGUGUGUUCUAACAGUUUACUUUCAGAGUAAUCAAUUGCUUGUUAAAAUUUCUUUCAUAUAUUUUUGUUUGAAUGUUCACCCUUCGGAAAAGUGACUAGAUAAUGUAUAAGGUAUGUUUUUUCAUAUUUAAUAUUAGAUUCGACCCAAUCCAUGUAUUGGUUAACCUUUAUUUUUGAAUGACGUUAAUGUGAGUUGAUCAGUGUCGGCCCUGGUCCAGUGCAGCCACACUAGGCCCAUUGGGUCGGGGAUCAUAAUUUUUAGCUGAUGUAGCGAAUGAGCUUGGACGGCUGAGAUGAAAGCCUGAAACAACGAAUGCUAGCGAUUGGAAUAAAUGAAAUCACAAUCCGAGUAAAGCCAAGAUACCCAUUCGGACUGUGCCACGUGCCCUUGUAAUACGAGUAUAUAUAUUUCCCAAGUAGAGAGACUAACCCUCGAUCUAUACACGCCGCCCCGUCUAUAGCUCUCCACUCUUCCUUCUCUGCAAAUCACCCAUCCGCCCUGCUUUCAGCAAAGGGUUGCCGUCUCUAUCCUGAAUAAAUGAGUAUAUUCACUUCCUUAAAAAUCUUAUUCUAAUCUUGCGCACACAUAAUUACAAUCUGUAUAUACUGUUACUAUUAAUCAAAGCAAGAAGUUAUAGAUAAGAUUUAUCUUGUUCAGCUAAUUAGUUGCAAGUCUAAUACAUAAUUGUUCUUUCUGCUAAUUGUCCUGUUUUACAUCUAAGGAAUUUCUGUUAUGCUCGAGGGAAUUAACUCUUAAAUAAAGAUGCUUGUGGGUGCUUGAUUUCAGAUUAUAAGGUGUCAAUAGUGAUUUGGGUUUUGCUGUUUUGAGUAAUAAUUCACAGAGCAUAGUAGCUGUAACACAUUAAGAAAAACACGCUAUUUAAGAAUAUAGAAAUGUUUUGCUAUGCAUAAGACUUUGUUCCAUGUACUAAACUGUUAUCCUGUCUUUAACCAUAUCGUAACAUAUUUCUGCUUUCUUUGGACAGAUUUAGGUUGCAACGAUAUGUCUCAGCCAGCUGAGGUUUCAUUUUUCACCUCUACCAAGGGCUAUGCUACCGAAAUUAAAGCAAAAAUGAACUACAAACCGAAAGAAAGAAAGCGGAUACAAUUGAGGUCAGUAGUGUGUGAUCAUUGUAUCAGGUAGGUGCAAUUAUUGCGAAACAGCAUAUUAUUGCAAUUUUGGAAACAAUGACAUUGCUUCAGUCAACAAUAUAAAAUUCGUUGCUGAAACUGCUACCUUAUUCUCAUAGCAAACACUAUUAGGGAUGAGAAUCUGCUAAUAGGGUAGCCUCGAGUCCUUUUUCCUGUGGAAGUUAAAACAAUAGCUAUAUAUUUGUGAAGAGAUUAUUAAUCAGUUAUGCUUAAAAUUCGAAUUUCAACUCUGCUCAAUCCUGUACACGGCCGACUUGUCUGUAUAUGAUGUUAAUAAAAUGUACCUAGCAUUCAGUUCGGGUGUUAGGUUUUCAUAUGUUCUUGUAGAUUUACCGAUGCGUAAUUUGUUAUAGUAUGAGCUUGUCUGGUAUCAUGAUUGGCAAUGUGAUAUUUUUCAUAUGUUUUAACCAAUUCCUAAUUGGUUAUGGUAUGAGUUUCGUGAUUAGCAUUGUGAUAAUGUGAAUAUUAAUUAUCUACUUAAUACUCAGAUAUCUCUCAAUUUUUUGAUGAGAAAUAUAUCAACAGCAGUAGUAACAAACAAGUAUUAUGAUGUGAUUAAACUGAUCUGGAUGCCUCUAAUCCCUGUUUUGUAAAAAACUGCUCCAUGGUCUACUGAAAUGAUAAAAUUACAUAUUGUUCCCUUCUGCACUUUUCUUCUGUUUCAAAUUUUGAUGCAUGCCUGCUCACCGAUAUUUUUCCUGAUAUACUAGGUUUACACAAACCAAGCAAUGAUCGCUUUUGUGACACAGAUCACCAACCAAUAUGCUAGGAACAUACUAGGAACUUUCUACUGAGCUGCCUCAUCAGCCCAAAGAUCUUACAGAUCGGAAAAGAUUUUGUAGGGGUUCACGAGCUAAUUGGCAUGAAGAAACGGUUGGAAAAGGGAAAACACCGGUGAAGUUAGGAACAUGCCAUUAGGAGGGGUAAGCCCAAAGUUGUAGGUCCAGUCUCGAUUUUUCUAAGAGUACUGACGGAAGGGGGCAAGAAAUGCUUGCUUAAUCUGUGAAGAAAUGUUAACUUAAACUCGAGGGGAGGGUGAAUUCUGCUGCUGGCCAGAUGAGAAGUGCACUCCAGCCAAAGAUUCAUUGUGCUCACCAGCAUUGCUCUUUUGGCCAUCAAGAACUGUUGCAUACUCUGCGGGAUCAAUGACCUCAAAAUAUAUGUUCAAGUUUUUUGCUUGAUCCUCAAAGUUUUCUUUGCUUUCCCAAAGCAAUUGGUAAUCACUUUCAAGAAGCAGUUCAAGGUCAGCCUCCUGGUCCUUCACUAGCUUCACAGGAUCAAGUACAAUGCCAUUCUGAGCCUCUUGACCAUUCCCCUCCUUGCCUAUUUUGUUCUUCACCAUGCUCUUCUUUCUUUUCUCUUCAGAUUGCACAGGAUGUUGAGGCCCAGUGCUUGCAGUAUAGUGCAGAGACUGAGCAAGUGGAGAACCAAAAUUCUUUCUGUUUCCAGCUACAUUUCUUGUCAUAAAUGCAUUUGCACCAGGAUCAGACAAAGCAUCUGGUGAACUUAACCGGAACUGGAUAGAAUCUACUGGGCUUCGCACCAUAAACUUUUCCUGAACACCACAGAAAGAUAAUACUAACACUAUUAAGGUUUGAGAAAGUCAUGGAAUCAGGUUCAAACCAAGUUGAUAAAAUUAUUUACUGACCUCAUCAAAAAACCCGUGCCUGGGUGAUGGCUUGCGGAGGCCUGAAGGCUUGGAACUUGUUGGUGUUCCUCCAAAUGAUGAAAAUGAUUUACUGACAUCGUCAAAAAACCCAUGCCUAGGUGAUGGCAUGCGGAGGCCUGAAGUCUUGGAACUGCCUGGUGUUCCUACUUGAUUUUUGGGAAUUUUUAGGUCCUCCGGGAUUCUUGUUAAUAAUUAUUUUGUGAUUAGCUGAAUACUUUAUCACUUUACUACUUUGUAAUGUAAUAAUUGUUUUGAUAAAUAAUUAUGAUAUAAAUUGUUAAGGAUUAACACUCACUUUAAAAUUUCCUCUUAAUUCAAAACCAUCAAUGUUGUGAUUCUUGUACAUCAGUUCUGAUACCACUUGUUAGUCAACAACGCUUAUUAAC
rnacentral:lncRNA from 1 species